GCCCGCCCGCUCACCGCAUUCUUUUUCUGCACCAUCUUGUCCAUCUUCUUGGCAAUGCGAACCACCUCGUCCUCCAUGGCUCCGGAAGGCCCCCUCUCGCCGGGCCACAGCGGACGGGAAGCAAGAGAAGCAGCGCAGACGUCCGACAAGUCGCGAAGCCGCCGGCCUAGGCCUUCCUCACAGACCCGGCCCGCGGCGGCACAGAUAAACGCUCCGCCCCCUAGGCCGUGCCAGUCGAGCACUGCGCGCGCCGCGCAGGCGCUACCAAUCGACAGCAGGAGACUGGAAAGUAGAAGCCGCUCGCGCUGGGGCGCUGUCCUCUUAACCUAUUCCCCGCCCCCAGCAGGCUGGAACUUCCGGCCCUAUCGGGACUUGGGUUGCUGGCGAGUUGGAGUUGGACUAACUCGGGCGUUCACGCCGGAGGGAUGCCGGCACUAGGCUAUAUUCAAACCAUCUCGCCUGCUGAUGAAAACCGACUUAAAAGAAGACGGCCUUGAGAACUGUGACUAACAAAAAGCCAAGGUAGAAAACUGACAUAUGUAGUGUCUGGGAUUGUUUUUACUUUGUUCCAUCUGUGAAAGUUAAUAAAUGAGGAGCCAAUGAACAUUACAGA